rnacentral:lncRNA from 1 species
UUUCAUCCAAAUUUUUGAAAAAAAUGGGGCGGGUGGAAGGAUUUUAUUUUUUAAAUUUUAUUUCAUAUGAAACCCUUUUGCAUGUUUUGUGACGAGUUCUUCAUAUAUGUAAGUGUAAUAAUAAGCUUAUAUCAUGUAUUGUUAAGGCCGUACAGUGACCUAUAGUUGUUAAUGUCUGUGUCAUUUUGGUCUUUUGUGGAUAGUUGUCUCAUUGGCAAUCAUACCACAUCUUCUUUUUUAUAUACACAAGUAUGAGGAAUCUUACAUAAUUUUUCAAAUCCUUAAAUAAAUAUAUCUAAUUGCGGCUUUAAAAACUUAACAACAAAAACGUGUGAGAAAUACUCUCUUCAGUUUGACUAACUACACAAAAUGUAUUUGGGUUUCUAAACAAUGGCUUGUAUUCCCAUAAAAUGAAGCUAAUGCAUUGGUAUGCAACACAAUUAUUAUGAGUACAGAAUAAAAUGAAAACUCAGAGAGUGUUGAAAAUAAUAGGGUUGGUACUUUAUAUGCAAGAUGAAAAUAUAAUUAUCAUGUAAAACAUGAACUUAAUAAUUAUAAUAAAAAGUUGUUGUUUAAUGACUCUUUUGGGGUGUAUUGGGACAUUUGCUGUUUGUCAACAGCCAUGGGUAAAAUCAAAGGGCUUGCAUAAAUAAAAUGCAUAUGUUAGUCGACUUUUUAAUUUCAAUAAACGGUCAUAAAUCUGACAAGUUCGUGCUUGUAUUUCAAUAUCUAUAAUCCAGUCAUGUUUUCUGUAUCAAUGGUUUCACGAAUCUUGCGCUUUGGGUAUCAUUUACAGUUUAAAUUUCCUGAGACAAAGUCAUUGCAUAAAUAAAAAAGUCCGCAGUUUUCUAAUCACAUAAAUUUGUGACAUACCGCGAUUUGCAGUCUUGGAAACAGCGUGUUUCUCUUAACACCAAUAUUUCACGUCAUUCUCGUUAUCAAUCUUUACUCUCGGAAGAUGAUGUUGUCAUCAUAGUCUAGAGCAGCGGAAAGGUCGACUUAAUCCUUUUUGUUAGAUUUACUUGAGGUACAAAACCGAAAUUUUUGAAACAGGAAGCUUUGAGGAUGAAACGAAAUUUUAACGGUUACCGGUAACGG